UACGUAGGGGGCGAGCGUUGUCCGGAUUUACUGGGCGUAAAGCGCGUGUAGGCGGCGUGGUAAGUCGGGUGUGAAAGCCCCGGGCUCAACCUGGGAAUUGCAUUCGAGACUGAAUAGCUAGGGUACGGUAGAGGGAAGCGGAAUUUCCGGUGUAGCGGUGAAAUGCGUAGAUAUCGGAAGGAACAUCAGUGGCGAAAGCGGCUUCCUGGACCA
rnacentral:rRNA from 1 species